GGACAGUGAUGACAUCAUGUGAUAAGGUCUCGUUCGUCGUAAUGGUGAGCUUCUUCUCACCUUGCCGACCACCCUGUUAUAUCACCACCCAUAAACUGAGUCC